ACUCCUACGGGAGGCAGCAGUGGGGAAUCUUGCGCAAUGGGCGAAAGCCUGACGCAGCAACGCCGCGUGCGGGAUGAAGGCCUUCGGGUUGUAAACCGCUUUCAGCAGGGACGAAAUUGACGGUACCUGCAGAAGAAGCCCCGGCCAACUACGUGCCAGCAGCCGCGGUAAU
rnacentral:rRNA from 1 species